UACGGGGGGGGUAAGCGUUGUCCGGAAUUAUUGGGCGUAAAGAGCUCGUAGGCGGUUUGUCGCGUCGAAUGUGAAAACCCGGGGCUCAACCCCGGGCCUGCAUUCGAUACGGGCAGACUAGAGUUCGGUAGGGGAGUCUGGAAUUCCUGGUGUAGCGGUGAAAUGCGCAGAUAUCAGGAGGAACACCGGUGGCGAAGGCGGGACUCUGGGCCGAUACUGACGCUGAGGAGCGAAAGCGUGGGGAGCAAACAGG
rnacentral:rRNA from 1 species